rnacentral:rRNA from 1 species
UACGUAGGGCGCAAGCGUUAUCCGGAAUCACUGGGCGUAAAGCGUGCGUAGGUGGAUGUUUAAGUGUGAUGUUAAAUCGUGGGGCUCAACCCUGUCGAUGCAUCGCAUACUGGACGUCUAGAGGGAAGCAGAGGCAAGUGGAAUUGGUAGUGUAGCAGUGAAAUGCGUAGAUAUUACCAGGAACACCAAUGGCGAAGGCAGCUUGCUGGGCUUCUUCUGACACUGAGGUACGAAAGCGUGGGGAGCGAACAGG